AAACCACCCAAUUUGGGGUGGGGUACCACCCCUGCAUCCCCUCUGCACUGAGAGCCAUUAUGUUGCUCAGUACAAUUCUUCUACACCCUCCUCACCCUUCAAUUGUCAGAAUAUCCUCAUUCUUCUUCAAUGCAGAACAAGAACUCGGGAACCACCAAAUGCAGUCUCCCUCUGAUGCCGAGCCGAAGCUGGACUGUACUGCUGCCAUCUCGGCUCACUGCAACCUCCCUGCCUGAUUCUCCUGCCUCAGCCUGCCGAGUGCCUGCGAUUGAAUGGUUUUCAUAUUUUUUUUGGUGGAGACGGGGUUUUGCUGUGUUGG
rnacentral:lncRNA from 10 species